AGAUGCAACAUAAAAAUUUCAGAGACAGAAGAAAUCUUCCUUUGAGGGCAGUGAUACACUUAUGUGAGAUUUUGAAAAGUGAAAAAUCAAAGGUGGAAUUGACCAGUAGAUGUAAAAGUACAACAAAUAAACAAAAAUGGCAAUGUUGAAAGUGAAACUGAAAUUCAACAGAAAUAAAAGAAAUAGCAGACUGGGGGGAUAUUGACUUUGACACCAUGAUGCCAGAGGAACUUAGUGAUGGCAAACUUAUCAAUAUAAAAUGAGGAUAUUGGUUGUCAACUAGGUUGUGUGGUGGUCCUUGAUCUUGUCCAUCAAGUCCUUUUUCCCAAAGGAUAACUGAAGAAGAUCACAUACAUUCCAACUUAUUGAGUCUGAUAGGUAUUCAUCUGAUGAGCUCCUCUUCAACUGAGGAUUGAAAUGCUGUUUUUCUUCCCUGGUACAAUGUUAAAGCUUUAAACUCUUGUCAAUGAUGUGAUGUUUCAUCUGCAAUGAUCUACACUAGAAAAAUAAAAAUGUAGUUACUGACAAAAAAGCAGGAUCACACAUAACAAUAUUAACUUUAAAUGUAAAUGGACUACAUGCUCCAAUUAAAAGACACAGACUGGCAAAUUGGAUAAAGAGUCAA
rnacentral:lncRNA from 10 species